rnacentral:tRNA from 1 species
GCCUUUGUGGUGUAGUGGUCAGCACGCUCGACGCGUAUUCGAGAGGUCCGUGGUUCGAAUCCCGGUGAGGGCA